CCUACGGGUGGCAGCAGUGAGGAAUAUUGGUCAAUGGCCGCAGGGCUGAACCAGCCAAGUCGCGUGAGUGAAGAAGUAUUUCGGUAUGUAAAGCUCUAUCAGCAGGGAAGAAAUAGCGACCUUUGGGUCACCAGACGGUACCUGAUUAAGAAGCCCCGGCUAACUACGUGCCAGCAGCCGCGGUAAUACGUAGGGGGCAAGCGUUAUCCGGAUUUACUGGGUGUAAAGGGAGCGUAGACGGCAGCGCAAGUCUGAAGUGAAAUGCCGGGGCUUAACCCCGGAACUGCUUUGGAAACUGUGCAGCUAGAGUGCAGGAGAGGUAAGUGGAAUUCCUAGUGUAGCGGGGAAAUGCGUAGAUAUUAGGAGGAACACCAGUGGCGAAGGCGGCUUACUGGACUGUAACUGACGUUGAGGCUCGAAAGCGUGGGGAGCAAACAGGAUUAGAUACCCCAGUAGUC
rnacentral:rRNA from 1 species